rnacentral:rRNA from 1 species
CGGCAGGCCUAACACAUGCAAGUCGAACGGUAGCACAGAGGAGCUUGCUCCUUGGCCGACCCGUGGUUGAUCAUUUAGUAAUGUAAGGGGAUCUGCCUGAUGGAGGGGGAUAACUACUGGAAACGGUAGCUAAUACCGCAUAACGUCGCAAGACCAAAGAGGGGGACCUUCGGGCCUCUUGCCAUCAGAUGAACCCAGAUGGGAUUAGCUAGUAGGUGGGGUAACGGCUCACCUAGGCGACGAUCCCUAGCUGGUCUGAGAGGAUGACCAGCCACACUGGAACUGAGACACGGUCCAGACUCCUACGGGAGGCAGCAGUGGGGAAUAUUGCACAAUGGGCGCAAGCCUGAUGCAGCCAUGCCGCGUGUAUGAAGAAGGCCUUCGGGUUGUAAAGUACUUUCAGCGGGGAGGAAGGGGAAGUGGUUAAUAACCGCUUUCAUUGACGUUACCCGCAGAAGAAGCACCGGCUAACUCCGUGCCAGCAGCCGCGGUAAUACGGAGGGUGCAAGCGUUAAUCGGAAUUACUGGGCGUAAAGCGCACGCAGGCGGUCUGUCAAGUCGGAUGUGAAAUCCCCGGGCUCAACCUGGGAACUGCAUCCGAAACUGGCAGGCUUGAGUCUUGUAGAGGGGGGUAGAAUUCCAGGUGUAGCGGUGAAAUGCGUAGAGAUCUGGAGGAAUACCGGUGGCGAAGGCGGCCCCCUGGACAAAGACUGACGCUCAGGUGCGAAAGCGUGGGGAGCAAACAGGGAUAGAUACCCUGGUAGUCCACGCCGUAAACGAUGUCGACUUGGAGGUUGUUCCCUUGAGGAGUGGCUUCCGGAGCUAACGCGUUAAGUCGACCGCCUGGGGAGUACGGCCGCAAGGUUAAAACUCAAAUGAAUUGACGGG